GACGAACGCUGGCGGCGUGCUUAACACAUGCAAGUCGAACGGAAAGGCCCUGCUUUUGUGGCUUGCUCGAUUGGCGAACGGGUGAGUAACACGUGAGUAACCUCCCCUUGACUUUGGGAUAACUUCAGGAAACUGGGGCUAAUACCGGAUAGGAGCUCCUGCUGCAUGGUGGUGGUUGGUAAGUUUCGGCGGUUGUGGAUGGACUCGCUGGUUAUCGGCUUGUUGGUGGGGUAGUGGCUUACCAAGGCUUUGACGGGUAGCCGGCCUGAGAGGGUGACCGGCGACAUUGGGACUGAGAGACGGCGCAGACUGCUACGGGCGGCAGCAGUGGGGAAUAUGGCAGAAUGGGCGGAAGCCUGAUGUGACAACGCCGGGUGCGGGAUGACGGCCUUCGGGUUGUAAACCGCUUUCGCCUGUGACGAAGCGGGAGUGACGGUAAUGGGUAAAGAAGCACCGGCUAACUACGUG
rnacentral:rRNA from 1 species